rnacentral:lncRNA from 1 species
GGCCCUGUAGGAAUAUGGAAUUGAGAUGGCCAUGUGUUGUGUUUUGAUGGACUCGCACUACACACGCUGGUGAGGGUCUUCAGCCAUGCAAGGAUUGCCUAGAGUAGGGUCAACACAGGAUAAUGGACUUCCAUGAUGUCUAGACCAGGAUGACAUGUGACUGGAUGAAUGGAGGGAGCAUCAUUUUAUAGUGUACUUAACCGCAGGGGACCACACCACUCCACAGUUCCUAUUUUGGGCAUAGAUCCUUU